AUUGAACGCUAGCGGGAUGCUUUACACAUGCAAGUCGAACGAGUGGCGGACGGGUGAGUAAUAUAUCGGAACGUGCCCAGUGGCGGGGGAUAACUACUCGAAAGAGUGGCUAAUACCGCAUUCUAUUGGAGCGGCCGAUAUCGGAUUAGCUAGUGGGUGGGGUAAAGGCACACCAAGGCCACGAUCCGUAGCUGGUGUGAGAGGACGACCAGUCACACUGGGACUGAGACACGGCCCAGACUCCUACGGGAGGCAGCAGUGGGGAAUAUUGGACAAUGGGGGAAAGCCUGAUCCAGCCAUCCCGCGUGUAUGAGAAGGCCUUCGGGUUGUAAAGUACUUUAGGCAGGGAGGCGUUAUCUGCAGAAUAAGCACCGGCUAACUACGUGCCAGCAGCCGCGGUAAUUC
rnacentral:rRNA from 1 species